ensembl:lncRNA
AUGGGGCCCACAUGCUGGUCUUCAUGGUGCAGGAUAUGACACAUCCUAAUCUACUCCCCGCUACAUCUCCUUACGCUUCUCAAUCUCCCUCCCCACGUCCCCCGUGCACCCUUGCUCCCCCAUCCCUCAUCCUCUUACUGGAGCACGGGACCAUGCAGUGGAAAUAACAGAGCCAAUAAAGACACUGCCAGAAUCCAUCCACUGCCUACGCCUCACCCAGCCACUGAGGGAGAGAAAAAGUGGUGUGGUUGCUGGAAAAAGGGGACUGAGGGAGAGGAAAGAAGACAGGAGACCACCUCUAACGUGUCUACAGCUAUGCAUGGAGGAGGAAGGGAGGAAGGCGGGGUUGGAAGGAUGCAGGCGGCGCGGGCUAAGGAGAAGAUGGAUGAGGGACGGUGAAGAACGGGCGCAGGAUGGAAUGAAGAUGGAGAGACUUGGAUAGCGGGACGAUAAUUCUUGGAGGGAGCAUGUCUGCACCCAUUUGGAACCCCCCCUCACCUGAUAGCUCUUCCAUACACAGUGGAGCUUAGCAACAGGUGCAAUCCUUUCCAGUCCCACAUCGCUUGAGACUUUCUUUGACUACACAGAGC